GGCUCAGAACGAACGCUGGCGGCGUGGAUAAGACAUGCAAGUCGAGCGAUCGUUAACGGGUAGCAAUAUUCGUUAACGGGAGCGGCGCAAGGGUGCGUAACACGUGGGUAAUCUGCCAUGAAGUUUGGGAUAAUCCCGCGAAAGCGGGACUAAUACCGGAUGUGACAACUGGGAGGCAUCUUUUGGUUGUUAAAGUUGGGGACCGUAAGGCCUGACGCUUCAUGAUGAGCCCGCGGCCUAUCAGCUAGUUGGUGAGGUAACGGCUCACCAAGGCUAAGACGGGUAGCUGGUCUGAGAGGACGACCAGCCACACUGGAACUGAGACACGGUCCAGACACCUACGGGUGGCAGCAGUCGAGAAUUUUUCACAAUGGGCGCAAGCCUGAUGGAGCGACGCCGCGUGGGGGAUGAAUGGCUUCGGCCCGUAAACCCCUGUCAUUUGCGAUCAAACCUCGUUAUUUAAAAGAUGACGAGCUGAUGGUAGCGAAAGAGGAAGGGACGGCUAACUCUGUGCCAGCAGCCGCGGUAAUACAGAGGUCCCAAGCGUUGUUCGGAUUCACUGGGCGUAAAGGGUGCGUAGGUGGUGGGGUAAGUCGGAUGUGAAAGCUCGGAGCUCAACUCCGAAAUGGCAUUGGAAACUACCCUGCUAGAGGAUUGGAGGGGGGACUGGAAUACUUGGUGUAGCAGUGAAAUGCGUAGAUAUCAAGUGGAACACCAGUGGCGAAGGCGAGUCCCUGGACAAUUCCUGACACUGAGGCACGAAAGCUAGGGGAGCAAACAGGAUUAGAUACCCUGGUAGUCCUAGCCGUAAACGGUGCACGUUUGCUGUAAAAGGAAUCGACCCCUUUUGUGGCGUAGCUAACGCGUUAAACG
rnacentral:rRNA from 1 species